rfam:Cedecea davisae DSM 4568 genomic scaffold Scaffold0, whole genome shotgun sequence.
GGGCAGGCACGCCAAAAUGUGACUUAUCUCCCUUUCAACGGUAAGCUAAGCUCAGUAUCAUCAUUACAGAAUCAACCCUCGCCGGUUUCGGUGAGGGUUUUUCUUUGUA